CAAGUUGGUGAUGCCAUAACCCAUGAUUAACUAUUUACAUCUUUUCAUAGAAGGAAAAAAAGAGAAGAGCAUCAUUGAAGUUUGCACAAACAACUACAACAACUCCUUUACCAAACACAAAACAACAUGAACAAGACAGAAAAUCAACAACAACAACAACAAAACAUGGACAACGUUCCUCCUCCUGGGUAUCCAACUUUGAAUUCUCCUGAAGGAAAGAUGAAGAAGAAGAGUUGGUUCCGCACCAAGAAGAGGGGAGAGAAGGGUUUCAUUGAAGGAUGCUUGGCUGGAUUAUGUUGUUGUUGGAUAUGUGAAGAGUGUUGCUGCUAAAAAGAUCAUGGCUUGGCUUGGCUUGGUGAUCAAUAUAUGUCAUGUUCUUUAAAUGUUUUAUGUAGUAUCUGAAUUUUAUUUUUGGAAUAUGUGUAAUUGAUAUGAACAUACCAUGCUAUAUAUAUAUUUUUACAUAUA